UGAAUGAGGGGCCCUGGCACUGAGGCAACUCUGACUUGUCUUUUCUCAAAAAAGGAGGAGAAAGAGCUAAGAAGGAGAAAGAAGAAAAAGGAGGAGGAGAGGAAAAGGAAGAAGAGGAGGAGGAAGAGGAGACACAGGAGGAAGAAGAGAAGGAAAGUAGGAAGAAAGGGAAGUUUUGAGUUUUAAUCACUUCAAGAAACAUUCAAGAGCCAGAGAGAAAGAGUCAAAGGCAUCUUAUUGGGCCAAACUGACUCUGGCAUUGGAGGGUCUCCUCUCCAGGAGCCACUCGUCCAAGCCUCGUUCCCGAGUUGCUUCUGGAGGGACUCAGUGGAAGACAGAAGGUGUUUGGCUUUUCCUUUUGUCUGCCUAGAAGACUUCGGAUGGAAAUGGCUGCUUCCACUAGCGGUGAAUCCAGAAACAUCUCUGGGACAUUUAAAAAGCAGCUCAUCCCAGUAUCUAGUCUCUGAGGUACAAAAACAUAGCGUGACAUCCGGGGCCCUCAGCACCCCUGCUUUGCGCUGGCCGUGUCACGUGGGAAGUGGGGUAACAUCAGGGAGCUUCACCUCCUUCAGCCGAAGUUCAAAAGUCAUCCUCUCGCACUGGGGCCACUGCCACUGCAGCCAGCGUGGAGUCACUGCAGCAGAACCACCGCCUGGGACCAGUGACAGGAGGAGGAGGAUGCACCCUGCCCCUUGCGUCCCCUGUCUUGCUCAGCUCCAAGGCCUGGGAGCCUGGUUGCAUGACGUUAGCCUGUGCCCAGGCGGCUUGCUCUUUCCCGUGGCUCUCAUAAGCUGCACUCCGUGGCUUGCAGAUCAGUCAGUCAUGCUCAGCGAACAGGUUCUCUGGAGGCCCCACGGAGACGGGGACAUCGAGGAUGGUUUUCUUUGGCUGAAAUCAGGCAGCUGCAGUGCCCGGAUUUUCCCAGCACCCAUCACAGCUGUUGAUUCUGGCCAACAGGAACAGAAAGGGAAUUUGUUGAAAGAGUGCUCAACACUGGGUAGAAAUGGAGAAAGUUCCAGAACCAAGCUUCCAAAGCCCUGGAACAGUUUGCCCUGAGGAUCUGUGACGGCACCCAGACUUGAGUUCUCUUCGACACCCCACAUGCGCCCCUUGGAGAACAUGGAGUUAAGAAGUAAGGAAUCUCGGGAGGAGGACAACUCCGAGGUUGGCUGAGUCCAAGGUUCAAGAACGAAAUUGAGAAUCCAGGUCCUUUCUGUUUCUGCCCUCUACCCUCCACCUGGCCAAAAACUGCUUCCCUGGGGGCAAAACAGCCUUUCCUGGUAAUUACAACAAUAAGGUCUUUCGGUGAAACAUCCUGAGUGCUAGAAAUGGAGGGAGGGGCUUCCCAGGACUCUCUUGCUGCCAGAAGCCCCGGAAAUUCUCCAAGUGUCUUUUGAGCCCAAAAUGACUUGGAGCAGUUCACUCUUGAAGCCAC
rnacentral:lncRNA from 1 species